AUUGUUACUACCAAAGUACUACUUGUCAUUCACUGCUUUAUGUAUUGGUUUAUGUAUUAGUUCAUACUAGUUGAUUUCGGAAGCUUCUCUCUGUAUGGAGCCAGUUCAGCUCCAGCCGGCAAGCGGGUAGCCGCUCCUUAAUACAUUGUUACCCCUGGAGUCCAUCUCUUACUACGUCUCAAUCCUGCAGUUAUUACAUUGGCGACGAGGAUGGGAUUUAUUGGCAAAGUAGAAGAAUUUAACCAGGAUGCCGAGGUGUGGACUCAAUAUGUGGAGCGGCUGGAGCAUUUUUUGAAGCCAACGACAUUAUUGAAGAGAAAAAAAGAAAUCUACUUUAUUGGCUGUUUGUGGAGCAAGAACCUACGAAGUGAUAAGGUCACUCUGCCUACCAGAGAAGCCAGCCGACAAGUCGUACAGUGACCUCAAAGUGCUGUUGGAGAAUCACAUGUGCCCGAAACCGUCAGUAAUCAUGAAGCGCUUCAAAUUCAACUCACGAUUCAAGCAACCAACUGAAUCUGUGUCUUCUUACAUUACUGACCUUCGGAAAUUAGCGGAGCACUGUGCGUACGGAAACCAACUACCUGACAUGUUACGAGAUCGUCUGGUGUGUGGAAUUGACGACCGAAAAAUACAAGCAAGGUUGUUGGCAGAUGGGAAUUUGGACUUCAAGAAGGCAGAGGCAACUGCUCUGGCUAUGGAGGCUGCGGCAAAAGACACUGAAGACCUACAACAGGCUGGGGAGUACCGCAGCAGUCAAGUGAACAAGAUUCAGGAGAGGCGCGGGGAAGGAAGAAAAAUUCAAGAGACACCGUGGGUGCGAACGAAUCCUCGACCACAGUGCUACAGGUGUGGGGGUCCGCAUGUGGCUCCUAGCUGUCAUUUUGCACGUGCUACCUGUUUUAAAUGUAAGAAAGUGGGACACUUGGCAAGGAUGUGUCGAAAUAAAGCAGACAUGGAAAGGAAAAUGCACAAGAUUGAGGUGAAGAGGAGGACGGUGAGACAACUGGGGAAGAAUACACCUUGUAUACAGUGCGGGGGGCUCGUGAACCACCUGUGAUUGUUCACCCAGAAGUUAACAAGGUGGCUAUUCCCAUGGAAGUGGAUACUGGUGCUGCGGUGUCCAUUAUAAGUCAGAAAGUGUAUGAAGAAAGCUGGAAGGAUACGUGCAAGCCGGUGCUCGAGUAUUCCGACGUAGUGUUACGCACCUACAGUGGAGACUUAUUGAAAGUGAUGGGGGAAGUGAAUGUGGAGGUUAAUUAUAACAACCAGUCGAAAGUUCUGCCGUUGGUGGUAGUGGAUGGAGACGGCCCGAGUUUGAUGGGGAGAAACUGGUUGAAACAAAUUAAGCUAGACUGGGCUGCAGUUUAUAGUUGUCGGUCAGAGUGUGAUAAGGUCAUUCGCAGUUUUAGUAAUGUUUUCAAAGAGGAGUUGGGUCUCAUCAGAAACACAAAGGCGACCCUACAUGUGGAUAAGGAGGCACAACCCAAGUUUUUCAAAGCUCGCCCGUUGCCCUACGCCUUGAAAGACAAAGUGGAGCACGAGUUGGAACGGCUAGUUAACGAUGGAGUAAUUGAACCUGUGCAGUUCUCAGAGUGGGCGGCGCCAAUAGUCCCGAUAGUUAAGGGAGACAAAUCCAUACGUAUUUGUGGGGACUACAAGAUGACUGUGAACCGCGUGUCUAGAGUGGACAGUUACCCGAUACCGAAGGUUGAGGAUUUAUUAGCAAAUUUGUCAGGAGGGAAGACUUUUUCAAAAUUAGACCUGUCACAUGCUUAUUCACAACUACCACUGGAAGAGGAAUCAAAAAAAUAUGUAACGAUAAAUACACAUAAGGGGUUAUUCGUAUAUAAUCGCUUACCAUACGAGUCUCCUCGGCGCCAGGAAUAUUCCAGAGAGUUAUGGAGAACUUACUGCAAGGUAUCCCUCACGUGGUGGUGUACUUGGAUGAUGUAUUAGUGACAGGGAAGACGGAAAGGGAACAUCUGAGUAACCUGACAGAAGUUUUGAGGCGUAUGGAUGACGCGGGGGUGAAACUGAAGUUAAAGAAGUGUGUGUUUCAGGCACCAGAAGUAACAUAUUUAGGACAUAAAAUUAAUGCGGAAGGGCUGCACCCGUCCGAGGACAAGGUUCAAGCUGUUAUAAAGGCACCCACACCAAGCAACAUCACUGAACUAAAGGCGUAUUUGGGGCUUGUUAAUUAUUAUGGCAGAUACAUUCCUAAUCUCUCCACAGUAUUUGCUCCCUUGUACAGAUUACUGCAACGGGACGUGGAAUGGCAAUGGGGACCAGAACAGCAGCGUGCCCUUGCCACAUCGAAACAACUGUUGGCGAGCUCCAAGGUGUUGGUGCAUUAUGACAGCAGCAAGCCCCUCCUGCUCACCUGUGACGCGUCACCAUACGGAUUGGGAGCAGUCCUUGCACACCGUUUGGAGUCUGGAGAGGAGAAACCGAUUGCUUUCGCAUCCCGAUCCUGAGCAUAGCUGAACGCAAGUAUGCUCAGGUAGAGAAAAGAAGGUUUGGCAAUAAUAUUUGGUGUUAAGAAAUUUCAUAAUUACUUGUAUGGCCGCCAUUUUGAGAUCAUUUCAGACCAUCAGCCCUUAAAAGUCUGUUUAAUGAAACUCGCCCAGUGCCUGUGAUGGCAUCAAGUCGUAUCCAACGCUGGGCGCUAACACUAUCAGCGUAUGAAUACACUAUCACCCACAAACCAGGGAAAAAUAUAGUACAUGCUGAUGGGUUGAGUCGCCUUCCUCUCCCUGAAUUCCCCAAGGUGACUCCAGUCCCCGGUGAUGUGGUAUGCGUGUUGGAGAGACUAGACCAGACACCCGUCACGUCGAGAGAGUUAAGGCAAUGGACGGAUAAGGACUCAACACUCUCGAAGGUAAGAGAUCACAUUCUGUACGGUUGGCCUGGACAUAUAGCAGAGGAAACACUUCAGCCUUUUUUUAGAAGGAGGCACGAAUUAAGUGUCCAAGAUGGAAUAAUUUUGUGGGGAUCAAGAGUGGUGGUGCCUCAGAUAGCUAGAAAAAAUGUGUUGGCUGAGCUACAUGCAACGCAUCCAGGAGUCUCGCGCAUGAAAGGUAUUGCGCGUAGUCAUGUGUGGUGGCCCAAUAUAGAUAAAGAUGUUGAGUCAACAGUACAACUAUGUUCACAGUGCCAACAAGUGAGAAAUCUUCCCCCAGACGCUCCUUUGCAGCCAUGGGAGUGGCCACUAAAACCCUGGUCCAGGUUACAUUUGGAUUACGCUGGGCCGUUUAUGGGUGCAGUUGCUAGAUGGGAGGACUGUACGACGUCAUCUCGACUAUGUGAGGAGAAGAGUAAGCAUAGAGGGCGAGACGGUUAACGCAGAUGAUGCCAUACCACCUCCCAUGGACCUCACAAAUGGAGCAGGAAUUCAGAAACAUGGUUCGGCACCGGCAGGCAGCGUGUCGCCCCUAAAGGCAGGAGUUUCGAAGCAGUCCGGAGCACACAACAGCAACGCGCCGGAUCAAAUUCAAGAACGAGAGUUAACCUCAAGUCAAGAGUUCGAACCUGGAUUGCCGCCACAACAGCAGCCGUUGGAGAGGAAACACUGCGCCGUUCUGAGAGACUGCGCCAGAAGCCAGAUCGUUUGCAGAUAGCUUGGAAAUAAAAUGUUAGGUCUCUUGCUUCACUUGUGUUAACUAUUUUAAUUGUUGGAGUUUUUGUAUUACUUUUGCUAGUUUUAGUUACUAUGUUUAUUUUGUUUUUUGUCUCGUCUUUGCGGGUUUUAGCGUUUCUUAUAACUUGUAUCGAAUAUUUUUUUUUCUCUAGUCUUUCUAAUUGAUAAGUUUUAGUAUCUUCUGUAUCUUUUUUAACAUUUUGGUUGUAAACUUGAUUUUAUGGUUUCUAACCUGAGUUUUUUUUAAAAAAGGGAGGAGUGUUAUAAUUGUUACUACCAAAGUACUACUUGUCAUUCACUGCUUUAUGUAUUGGUUUAUGUAUUAGUUCAUACUAGUUGAUUUCGGAAGCUUCUCUCUGUAUGGAGCCAGUUCAGCUCCAGCCGGCAAGCGGGUAGCCGCUCCUUAAUACAUUGUUACCCCUGGAGUCCAUCUCUUACUACGUCUCAAUCCUGCAGUUAUUACA